UACGAAGGGGGCUAGCGUUGCUCGGAAUCACUGGGCGUAAAGGGUGCGUAGGCGGGUCUUUAAGUCAGGGGUGAAAUCCUGGAGCUCAACUCCAGAACUGCCUUUGAUACUGAAGAUCUUGAGUUCGGGAGAGGUGAGUGGAACUGCGAGUGUAGAGGUGAAAUUCGUAGAUAUUCGCAAGAACACCAGUGGCGAAGGCGGCUCACUGGCCCGAUACUGACGCUGAGGAGCGAAAGCGUGGGGAGCGAACGAG
rnacentral:rRNA from 1 species